GGAGAGAUGGCUGAGCGGCUGAAGGCGCACGCCUGGAAAGUGUGUUUAGGUUAAUCCCUAACGAGGGUUCGAAUCCCUCUCUCUCCGCCA
rnacentral:tRNA from 1 species